AACUACAGACUUGAAUUCGGCUGUGUGCCGUAUAAUAUAGGUGCAGAAUUUAUAUUGCGGUAGCAACGCUUCGAAAUAAGAACGUGUUAAAGCACAAGCAAAAUUAGCACAACAGCAGCAAAGGUGACGGUCGGAUUCUCAGGCUAAGCAUCAAUGGGCGCGAUUUGAAAUGCGUCUCACAGCUAUAAUAUAAGUUACACAGCUAUUUUAACUACAGUCUUCGCAAUAUGCAUUACACAGCUAUAUGCCAAAAAAAUGGGGGUGCUAAGUCCACUUAUAGAUCUCACACGCAUAUUGGGAUUUUCCGUGU